UACGGGGGGGGUAAGCGUUGUUCGGAAUUACUGGGCGUAAAGGGCUCGUAGGCGGCCAACUAAGUCAUACGUGAAAUCCCUCAGCUUAACUGGGGAACUGCGUGUGAUACUGGAUGGCUUGGAUUUGGGAGAGGGAUGCGGAAUUCCAGGUGUAGCGGUGAAAUGCGUAGAUAUCUGGAGGAACACCGGUGGCGAAGGCGGCGAUCCUGGACCAAUAUUGACGCUGGAGGAGCGAAAGCCAGGGGAGCAAACGGG
rnacentral:rRNA from 1 species